rnacentral:rRNA from 1 species
UUACCGAGUUUUCGGGCUUCGGCUCGACUCUCCCACCCUUUGUGAACGUACCUCUGUUGCUUUGGCGGCUCCGGCCGCCAAAGGACCUCCAAACUCCAGUCAGUAAACGCAGACGUCUGAUAAACAAGUUAAUAAACUAAAACUUUCAACAACGGAUCUCUUGGUUCUGGCAUCGAUGAAGAACGCAGCGAAAUGCGAUAAGUAAUGUGAAUUGCAGAAUUCAGUGAAUCAUCGAAUCUUUGAACGCACAUUGCGCCCCUUGGUAUUCCGGGGGGCAUGCCUGUUCGAGCGUCAUUACAACCCUCAAGCUCUGCUUGGAAUUGGGCACCGUCCUCACUGCGGACGCGCCUCAAAGACCUCGGCGGUGGCUGUUCAGCCCUCAAGCGUAGUAGAAUACACCUCGCUUUGGAGUGGUUGGCGUCGCCCGCCGGACGAACCUUCUGAACUUUUCUCAAGGUUGACCUCGGAUCAGGUAGGGAUACCCGCUGAACUUAAGCAUAUCAAUAAGCGGAGGAAAAGAAACCAACAGGGAUUGCCUUAGUAACGGCGAGUGAAGCGGCAACAGCUCAAAUUUGAAAGCUGGCCCUUUUAGGGUCCGCGUUGUAAUUUGUAGAGGAUGAUUCGGCGAGGGCUCCUGCCUAAGUCCCCUGGAACGGGGCGUCAUAGAGGGUGAGAAUCCCGUAUGCGGUAGGUUGCCUUAGCCAUGUGAAUCUCC